NNNNNNNNNUCUGGUCCCGGGGGUCCGGGGCCGCGGGGGGAGCGCGUUGUAGACGGUGCCCGCGAUGUAGACGGGGAAGCGCGCUGCAACCUCCUCCUUCCCCCUGCACCCCCCCACUCCAGUCUCCCUCCGAGGAGCCGCGCUGAACUCGGUGGAGAUGGGGGGGGUUUCGGCUCCGGAGGGGGGGCGGGCUGUAAUUACCGCCCGGCCCAGGCCCGAGGAAUCCAUAUUAGUCAAAGUUGAAUUGAGACAGACAAUGCGGAUGGGGGAUGGUGGAGGUUACGGGAAGUUUCAGAAAAACUGA
rnacentral:lncRNA from 1 species